GAUGAACGCUGGCGGCGUGCCUAAUACAUGCAAGUCGAGCGAACGGACGAGAAGCUUGCUUCUCUGAUGUUAGCGGCGGACGGGUGAGUAACACGUGGAUAACCUACCUAUAAGACUGGGAUAACUUCGGGAAACCGGAGCUAAUACCGGAUAAUAUUUUGAACCGCAUGGUUCAAAAGUGAAAGACGGUCUUGCUGUCACUUAUAGAUGGAUCCGCGCUGCAUUAGCUAGUUGGUAAGGUAACGGCUUACCAAGGCAACGAUGCAUAGCCGACCUGAGAGGGUGAUCGGCCACACUGGAACUGAGACACGGUCCAGACUCCUACGGGAGGCAGCAGUAGGAAAUCUUCCGCAAUGGGCGAAAGCCUGACGGAGCAACGCCGCGUGAGUGAUGAAGGUCUUCGGAUCGUAAAACUCUGUUAUUAGGGAAGAACAUAUGUGUAAGUAACUGUGCACAUCUUGACGGUACCUAAUCAGAAAGCCACGGCUAACUACGUGCCAGCAGCCGCGGUAAUACGUAGGUGGCAAGCGUUAUCCGGAAUUAUUGGGCGUAAAGCGCGCGUAGGCGGUUUUUUAAGUCUGAUGUGAAAGCCCACGGCUCAACCGUGGAGGGUCAUUGGAAACUGGAAAACUUGAGUGCAGAAGAGGAAAGUGGAAUUCCAUGUGUAGCGGUGAAAUGCGCAGAGAUAUGGAGGAACACCAGUGGCGAAGGCGACUUUCUGGUCUGUAACUGACGCUGAUGUGCGAAAGCGUGGGGAUCAAACAGGAUUAGAUACCCUGGUAGUCCACGCCGUAAACGAUGAGUGCUAAGUGUUAGGGGGUUUCCGCCCCUUAGUGCUGCAGCUAACGCAUUAAGCACUCCGCCUGGGGAGUACGACCGCAAGGUUGAAACUCAAAGGAAUUGACGGGGACCCGCACAAGCGGUGGAGCAUGUGGUUUAAUUCGAAGCAACGCGAAGAACCUUACCAAAUCUUGACAUCCUUUGACAACUCUAGAGAUAGAGCUUUCCCCUUCGGGGGACAAAGUGACAGGUGGUGCAUGGUUGUCGUCAGCUCGUGUCGUGAGAUGUUGGGUUAAGUCCCGCAACGAGCGCAACCCUUAAGCUUAGUUGCCAUCAUUAAGUUGGGCACUCUAAGUUGACUGCCGGUGACAAACCGGAGGAAGGUGGGGAUGACGUCAAAUCAUCAUGCCCCUUAUGAUUUGGGCUACACACGUGCUACAAUGGACAAUACAAAGGGCAGCGAAACCGCGAGGUCAAGCAAAUCCCAUAAAGUUGUUCUCAGUUCGGAUUGUAGUCUGCAACUCGACUACAUGAAGCUGGAAUCGCUAGUAAUCGUAGAUCAGCAUGCUACGGUGAAUACGUUCCCGGGUCU
rnacentral:rRNA from 1 species